AGCGGCAAACGGGUGAGUAACACGUAGGAAAUCUACCCUGAAAAGAGGGACACCCCCGAGAAAUCGGGGCUAAUACCUCAUAAGACCACGGCAUCCAAAGCCCCGUUUUGGGAUGAUCCUGCGUCCUAUCAGCUAGUUGGCGGGGUAACGGCCCACCAAGGCUAAGACGGGUAGCCGGCCUGAAAGGGCGAUCGGCCACAAUGGAACUGAGACACGGUCCAUACUCCUACGGGAGGCAGCAGUGGGGAAUUUUGGACAAUGGGCGAAAGCCUGAUCCAGCGACGCCGCGUGGAGGAUGAAGGUCUUCGGAUUGUAAACUCCUUUUGGAGGGGACGAAUGACGGUACCCUCAGAAAAAGCCACGGCUAACUACGUGCCAGCAGCCGCGGUAAUACGUAGGUGGCGAGCGUUACUCGGAUUUACUAGGCGUAAAGCGCUUGCAGGUGGUUGGAUAAGUCCGUAGUGAAAUUUCCCGGCUCAACUGGGAAGGGUCUACGGAAAC
rnacentral:rRNA from 1 species